rnacentral:rRNA from 1 species
AUAUCUCAUCCAUAUCAAGGAACUUCAACUUCAAAUCUGGCUCCAUAAUGGGGAUAACUGGCUGCUGGUGGACACCAUUUGCUUGAGUGAAAUGUGCACUAAUUUUCCUGAGGAUGAGCUUACUACUUGUAUCCGGAUAAACCAUGUGGGGGACUAUAAUGAGUAUGUAUUCUUGAAGAUGGAUCAAUAUGCACUCUACUUGGAUGUCAAGUGCAGGACGCUGUGUAAAGUGUGCGAGAUGACAGCAGAUGAGUAUCAAUUGGGUGAUAUCUAUCCUUUUAUGAUGAGCUGGCCUCCCAUUUUCCCUACUCUCAGUCCUGCAAGGGAUGCCACUUGAAGAACGAGGAUAUGAGGAAAGCUUUUGGAUGAGUUGUGACAAGGGUGCCACCAACCAAGAGCACAGGGCUCCAUUUCUGCGGUAGCAGUUCUAACCAUGUUCAUUUUAACCAUCAGUGGAUUGAUUAGGAUGGUAUGUAACUUGAGCAGCUACUCCUGUCAUGUGGCGUCAGUAGGUUAGUAUGCAUCAGUAGUGUUAGUGUGUAACUCUCUCGCCUCGUUUGUUUGUGUUGUUGUCCACUCCAGCUUGCUACUUGUGAAAAGUGUCUUAUUUUGUAUG